rnacentral:rRNA from 1 species
GGGUGAGUAACACGUAGCUGACCUGCCCCAAAGAGCAGGAUAACGCGCCGAAAGGUGUGCUAAUACUGCAUAAGCUCACAUUAACUAAAUAGGUGUGAGAAAAGUUCAGGCGCUUUGGGAGGGGGCUGCGGCCCAUCAGGUAGUUGGCGGGGUAAAAGCCCACCAAGCCGAAGACGGGUAGCGGGUCUGAGAGGAUGAUCCGCCACACUGGGACUGAGACACGGCCCAGACUCCUACGGGAGGCAGCAGUGAGGAAUAUUGGUCAAUGGGGGCAACCCUGAACCAGCGACGCCGCGUGGGCGACGAAGGCCUUCGGGUCGUAAAGCCCUUUUCUGUGUGACGAGUCAGGACGGUAGCACAGGAAUAAGCCUCGGCUAACUACGUGCCAGCAGCCGCGGUAAAACGUAGGAGGCAAGCGUUAUCCGGAGUUACUGGGCGUAAAGCGCAUGUAGGCGGUUACUUACGUCCGAUGCGAAAGCUCCCGGCUUAACCGGGAGAGUGCGUCGGAUACGGGGAGACUAGAGGACGGUAGAGGAGCGUAGAAUUCCGGGUGUAGUAGUGAAAUGCGUAGAGAUCCGGAGGAAUACCAGUGGCGCAAGCGGCGCUCUGGGCCGCACCUGACGCUGAGAUGCGAAGGCAUGGGUAGCGAACGGGAUUAGAAACCCCGGUAGUCCAUGCAGUAAACGAUGCUUACUAGGUGUACAGUUCCCGUCAGGGAAGGGUGUACCGCAGUUAACACGAUAAGUAAGCCGCCUGGGAAGUACGGUCGCAAGACUAAAACUCAAAGGAAUUGACGGGGGCCCGCACAAGCAGCGGAGCGUGUGGUUUAAUUCGAUGAUACACGAAGAACCUUACCUAGGUUUGACAUGGCAAUAGUAGCGACUUGAAAAAGAAGCGACCCUUCGGGGAGUUGUCACAGGUGCUGCAUGGUUGUCGUCAGCUCGUGCCGUGAGGUGUUCGGUUAAGUCCGAAAACGAGCGCAACCCUCGGCGUUAGUUACAAGUGUCUAACGCAACUGCCCGUGAGAAACGGGAGGAAGGUGAGGAUGACGUCAAGUCAGCAUGCCCCUUACGUCCUGGGCAACACACGUACUACAAUGCUGCGGACAGAGGGUAGCGAGCCGGUGACGGCAAGCCAAUCCCGUAAACCGUGGCUCAGUUCAGAUCGAAGCUUGCAACUCAGCUUCGUGAAGGCGGAAUCGCUAGUAAUCGCAGGUCAGCAUACUGCGGUGAAU